GCUAAACGCGAAGAACCUUACCAAGGCUUAAAUGGGAAACGACGGAUCUGGAAACAGGUCUUCCUUCGGGCGUUUUUCAAGGUGCUGCAUGGUUGUCGUCAGCUCGUGCCGUGAGGUGUCAGGUUAAGUCCUAUAACGAGCGCAACCCCUCGUUGUUAGUUGCCAGCGAGUCAUGUCGGGAACGUCUAGCAAGACUGCCGGUGCAAACCGUGAGGAAGGUGGGGAGUGACGUCAAAUACAUCACGGCCCUUACGCCUUGGGCUACACACGUGCUACAAUGGUGGUGACAAUGAGCCGCUAACUCGCGAGAGUAUGCAAAUCCCUAAAAGCCACCUCAGUUCAGAUUGUUCUCUGCAACUCGAGAACAUGAAGUUGGAAUCGCUAGUAAUCGUGGAUCAGAAUGCCACGGUGAAUACGUUCCCGGGUCUUGUACACACCG
rnacentral:rRNA from 1 species